AUAAAGAUUUGAAGUUCUUUAUCCAUACAACUGGUAUUCCAGGAGCAGCAGCAGUGCAGACUUGCCCACACUGGUCCUGCCAGUGUACAUCAGCCCUACCAUGGGAUAUAGAUUGCCCGCAGGGUCACUGUCCAUUAUACUUUGGCCUCU
rnacentral:sRNA from 1 species